rnacentral:tRNA from 1 species
GGGCGCGUAGCUCAGAGGGAGAGCGCCCGCCUCACACGCGGGAGGUCGCUGGUUCGAUCCCAGCCGCGCCCA